ensembl:lncRNA
AAGGCCGGGGUCCCCGCAGCUGGGCAGCACUCACCACUGAGCCACCUGGCCCUGACGGCCAACACAAUGGACACGCCUGGAAGGAGAGGAUGGGCCAGGUGGGAAGGCUGUUCCUGUCUAUUUCCAGACAGGGUCUUGCUGUGCAGUUUGGGCUGGCCUUGAACUCACUUGUGUAGUCCAGGCUGGUCUCCACGGUGAUCCUCCUGGCUCAGCCUCCCGAGUGCUGGAAUUACCGGCAGUGGAACCACUGAGCUACAUCCCAGGCCUCUCCUUGAACUCAUAGCAAUUUUCCUGCCUCAGCCUCGGGAGUGCUGGGAUGACAGGUGUGUGCCCUGUGCCUGGCGAGGUCAAGUAACUUCCGGAGUUUGAGCAAUGAGCUGGUGCCUGAGCCACAGGUGGAAGCCGAGUCCGUGGUGUUUGCAGGACAAACUGUGGACAGGAGCCGGUUGGCAGGGCGAGGAGCGGGCAGGAGCCCGCUGGGCCACAGAACGUCAGCUGCACUUUUAAGCCAGUUUUGGCCUACAGACUCGGCCCGGUGACAUGGGCGGCUUUGGCUGCAGCAGGGCGGAGUGCACCCAGAGGAAAGCGACCUGCAGAAGUGCCCAGAACAGGGUGCAGGACAGCGGUGUGUGUGCUGGAGCUCGAGGGGGUGGCAGGGGAUGGCAGGGGCAUUGGGUGACACCCAGGCUCUGCCCUGGGCUCAGGGCCCCCCAUGCCACUGGGGCCAUCCCAGCCUUGCCUCUCUUGACAUGGCCAGGGAUCCCCAGGACCCCCUGAGCCAGACUGAGCCACACCCUCCUGAUUCAACCUUCUCCAGAACCCAGGGGUGCCUUAGCUCUGGAACUGUCCCCACACCCACUGGGCUGUGAAGUCCUGCCCUGCAGCCACCAUGAGCAGAGAGGAAAGGGUGCUGGGAAGCAGGGGAGGGAGCAGGUGAAUAGCCUGGCUUCUGACUCAGUUCUCCUCCCUGGAGGCCCAGUCUGUGAGGACCCACACCCAGCCCAUCUUCCCCAGGCAGAGUGAAUGACCUCAAGCUGAUGGAGGCCAAUCCCAUCAUCUACAGGGGGAAGCCGAGGCCCAGGGAUGCUCAUGACCACCUCCAGCCAAGCGCUGGGCAGAGGGAAUGGGGUGGACCUGCUUGGGAGCCCAUGCAGCCUGGGGUGACCUUCUGUGGCCUUCAUGCCGUGGAGCUGGACACGCAUCACGUCCCAUGGUCCCUCUCGCUGCAGUGCCUCAGGCAGGGCCUGCAUCCAGUCCGGCCUCCUAACCCUCCUGGGCCACUGGGUGGUGGAGCCCGAGUUCCCUUGCAAAGAGCAAGAAGAGAACCCAGGACCAGGGUGCCUGCAGGGCCAGGGCCAGGUGGGGCCAAGGACUUCCUCCGUACCUUUCACAUCUACCACUGUGUGCUUGUCCUGCAGCUUCAGACUCGGAGCAUAUGCUUCUUACAGAGCUACCCAGCCACACCCAGGGCUGGUGGACCUGGGGGCUUUCAUAGCACAGCCCCUGUGGUGCAGCUGGCCUUGAGCCGCAGGCUCGGCGACUGACUACGAAGACAGAGCAGCCUGCCCUCUGUCUCCUCCCAGUCCCGAUGCGGCCUGGGGUUCAUGGGCGGCCCGGGUCCCAGCUCCCCACUUCCCUGCACCCCUGGGUUCGGGCGAUGUGGCCAUCCUUGCCGCCCCUACCCUGUCCAGCUUGGCCCUGUGUCACCACUGUUCUUGGAUAAGACGCAGGGACAGCCGGGAGUGGCUGUCGAUGGGACGUUAAGUGCAUGCCAACCUCUGGGUUUUGUAUAAAGGGCAAAAGAGGGGUGAAUUUUCUGGCGCUAAUAAGGAAAAUCUUGAGGUUGCCAUUAAUGAAUUGGUCUAAUUGUGCUUUCCAAACAUACCCAGCCAGCAGCUGCUUAAAACUUGUCAUUUUUGUAAAUGAAAAGUAUGAAACAUGGAAACUGUAUAUCCAACUGCUGAUUACAAAUGACAAUAAAGUAUUAAUUGUAUCCAUUAAAGAAAAAGCAAGUACCACCAGCCGGAAAACGCCAGC